rnacentral:lncRNA from 1 species
UAGAAAGGUUGGGAUGAUAACUGCAACAAAUCAAAGAUUUUGAGAAAAUUUGCUAAUGUUUUAAAGAUUUGAGACUUCUGCUUCAAUUUUCCCUAAAAUGUAUUUAAACUAUUAGAUUAACCUUUCUAAUGAUCGAGAUUAUUUGUCAAUUUAUUUUACCCACGAAAAGAUCAAUGAACACACAUGCUAGGUGCAUCAAUGUUUGACACCUAAGCCAUGUUUGGCCAUUUGAUACAGGAAAAAUGCUACUCAAACAAGAAGGGAAAAAAAAAUCUGGGAAGAAAAAUAGGGUGAUGUGGCAGCUCCUGAUUGAAUAUUUCUAUGUUUUGUUUUUCCAACUUUUCGAUGAAAAUCUGUCAAGUGUAGUCUAGAAAAAAAUUCUAUCACUAAGCCUGUCCAUAUAGCAUGAUUGUUGAUAUAGCUGGCUAUCAAUUAAUGGGCCGUGACUGGGCAUAUAUCAGCCCUUAGGCACUGUCAAAUAUGGGGCCAGGCCGGGGGCAAUAAUUGUUGGGCAUUUUACAUAAAUACACUAAAAUGGCAUACCAAUUUGAAAAAUGAGUAUAUAAAUUAGUCAACAAUUAAUUACGUUCAUUGACAUAUAAAAUACGUAUAAAUUAAUGUAAAAUCAACCAAAUCACAAUCCUAAACCGACACAAUUCAAGAACUGUAAUUCUCUCACAAAAUUCUUCACAUCUAACUCAAAUUCAAAGUUAAAAAUGCCUUUCUUUCAAAUUAUUGUGAUGAUAUUUUGCUCUUUUCUUUCUUAAAAUUUGAAAAUGAUGAUGACGAAGACGACGACUCUACAUCUGUUUAUUGCACUGGAAGUCACUUUUCAGAUCUUGGGAUUAGUUUCAUCCUCACUUUCAGUUUCAUUUAUAAUCAGGAUCGUAAGUUCCAUUUUGCAGAUGACACUCAUUUUUAUUUUAAAGCUUUUUGCUAUGGAAUUUUUCGAAAUUUGAUUCAAAUUAUUUAGUAAAUAAUUCUGGAUUCUUUUUUACUUUUG